CCUUGGCCUGCUCUGUCUUGAAUUCUUCAAUCCAGGUUCUGGUGGAUGGGACGAACUUUCCCCAGUCGUAAUCUGGAUCCACAGCCAAGAAUCCUGUCACAUAACUUCUGAACCCCUCAGCAAAAAAUGUUUCAUGGGCUACAGCAAGUUGAUUCUCCAUGUCCUCAACUUUAGUUUCCAGAGAAAGGACGCGCCCACUAGCAGCAGUAAGUUCCUGAGCUGUUUUGUUUAGCUCUGU
rnacentral:lncRNA from 1 species